GUUUAUAUAUAUAUUAAAUUGGAGUGAUUUGUUUUGACAUCCACCGCCUGCCGUUUUUGUUUUUAUCUUUUGAUCUUUUUUUUUUUUUUUGUUUAAUGUAUUACAUGAGCUCUUAACGAUGUUGUAAAUCACCGACUCAGUGGUUCUAUGCCAACCUUGCUUUACAUGUCUGCUAAUGUAAAUUGAACACUCUCUUACAUCUCACCAAUAAAUAUGAAAAGAGAUUAGAUCUGACAUCUGACCAUAAAAUUGCAGUAAACGUAAAUAAUAUAUGAUUUGAUUGAAAUUCAAACACACGGACUUUUUUUUUAUUGAUUCAAUGCUUCUCUUGCAGCUUUGUUGGCCGUCGUGAAUUGUGUGGUGAGCAAAUCGAAGAGUGCACGAAGGACAAUAUGAUCGAGUUUGCCGUUAGAGUAUUAUCCGGAAGCUUGGUAUUGCAAGUGUGGCAACAAGCUCUUCAUGCCUAAGCUGUAUCAAAAUUUUAUUCCUAGUUUUGUUUCACUUUGAAGCUCCUUUGUAUUUAGGUG
rnacentral:lncRNA from 1 species